CGUUACAGGUUCUCGGUGUGCUUCUGCCAAAACCCAAAUUUUCUAUGGUUGACCUCGGAUCAGGUAGGGAUACCCGCUGAACUUAAGCAUAUCAAUAAGCGGAGGA
rnacentral:rRNA from 1 species